UCCAGCUUGUCACUGGCAGUUUCCUUAGAGUCCCCGGCAUAACCCGCUGGUAACUAAGGAUGAGGGUUGCGCUCGUUGCGGGACUUAACCCAACAUCUCACGACACGAGCUGACGACAGCCAUGCAGCACCUGUCUCUGAUCCAGCCGAACUGAAGCGUACAUUACAUACGCGGCGAUCAGGAUGUCAAGAGCUGGUAAGGUUUUUCGCGUAGCCUCGAAUUAAACCACAUGCUCCACCGCUUGUGCGGGUCCCCGUCAAUUCCUUUGAGUUUUAAUCUUGCGACCGUACUCCCCAGGCGGGGUGCUUAACGCGUUAGCUACGACACCGAAGCUCAAGGCUCCGACGUCUAGCACCCAUCGUUUAGGGCGUGGACUAC
rnacentral:misc_RNA from 1 species